UCCCAUCCUCUGCCCCGCCUGUCCUGUCCCCAGUCCUCCCAUCGAUGUCCAUGGAGUCAGUGGUGCAGGACCGAGAGCCAGUCAGACUCAGCCCCUGUCUCCCUGCACCUGUCCUACCUGACAUUUUUUAACUCGUCUUUCAUAAGGAUCCUCUGAAGCCCCCUGUGUGUCCCGAGCAGAGACUCCAUUUCUGGGGUUUUGUAUAUCUCCAGGCAAGGUGAAGGCACCCUUUGGACCCACCUCAUAAGCCAUCUCUGCAUCCCCAUGAACCCAGACUAGCUGUGGUGCCAGAAACCCAACUUAACAACAGCUAUCAGUGCAAACUGUCCUAGGAAAAAUUAAAAAUGACAGGCAAGGAG
rnacentral:lncRNA from 1 species